GACGUAGGGCGCGAGCGUUGUCCGGAUUUAUUGGGCGUAAAGAGCUCGUAGGCGGCUUGUUGCGUCGACCGUGAAAACCCGGGGCUCAACUUCGGGCUUGCGGUCGAUACGGGCGGGCUAGAGUUCGGUAGGGGAGACUGGAAUUCCUGGUGUAGCGGUGAAAUGCGCAGAUAUCAGGAGGAACACCGGUGGCGAAGGCAGAUCUCUGGGCCGUAACUGACGCUGAGGAGCGAAAGCGUGGGGAGCGAACAGG
rnacentral:rRNA from 1 species